UACCAGCACCCCGAGUGGUCGGGACGAUUAUUGGGCCUAAAGCAUCCGUAGCCGGUUCUACAAGUCUUCCGUUAAAUCCACCUGCUUAACAGAUGGGCUGCGGAGGAUACUAUGGAGCUAGGAGGCGGGAGAGGCAAGCGGUACUUAGUGGGUAGGGGUAAAAUCCGUUGAUCCAUUGAAGACCACCAGUGGCGAAGGCGGCUUGCCAGAACGCACUCGACGGUGAGGGAUGAAAGCGGGGGAGCAAACCGGGAUUAGAUACCCGUUGUAGUCCACGAUCCAAGUCCGUCUGACCAGAUC
rnacentral:rRNA from 1 species